GAUGAACGCUGGCGGCGUGCCUAAUACAUGCAAGUCGAGCGAACAGACGAGGAGCUUGCUCCUCUGACGUUAGCGGCGGACGGGUGAGUAACACGUGGAUAACCUACCUAUAAGACUGGGAUAACUUCGGGAAACCGGAGCUAAUACCGGAUAAUAUAUUGAACCGCAUGGUUCAAUAGUGAAAGACGGUUUUGCUGUCACUUAUAGAUGGAUCCGCGCCGCAUUAGCUAGUUGGUAAGGUAACGGCUUACCAAGGCAACGAUGCGUAGCCGACCUGAGAGGGUGAUCGGCCACACUGGAACUGAGACACGGUCCAGACUCCUACGGGAGGCAGAAGUAGGGAAUCUUCGGCAAUGGGCGAAAGCCUGACGGAGCAACGCCGCGUGAGUGAUGAAGGUCUUCGGAUCGUAAAACUCUGUUAUUAGGGAAGAACAAAUGUGUAAGUAACUAUGCACGUCUUGACGGUACCUAAUCAGAAAGCCACGGCUAACUACGUG
rnacentral:rRNA from 1 species